rnacentral:lncRNA from 7 species
GUGGAAGAGGCUUUCAGGAAAUCGGCGUAUGAUCGCCUUUUGAAGAUUGAAGGGAAGCAAGCACCGGCCAUCUCGAAAACCAAACCAAACUAACCAAAUGCCUAGGACAGAGACAGGCAGGGUAGCGUCGCUCGGUCGGGGGCCGGCUGCCGGGGCGGGAGGCAGCGGCACCGGCACGGCACUCUCAUUGUUGUUCAGGAGUGCGGGUUGGGACUUCUGACUUCAGUUACCGAGAGAGCGGAGCAAGAGGACAUGGCGACAUGCUCGAUCGCCUGACGCAGCAUGACUGAGUGGCGUGGAUGAGUUGUUUUUUGGUUUUUCUUCAUUUAUUCGAAUAUAUGUGUACCACUAACACAACAACACUGCUCCACUGAUCCUAGUUCUCAAGUUUAUCGAGUCUUUUCUCAGAUACACCAAAUCUAAGUCUACAGCGUAUUUAAAGCAAGAAGACUAAUGAUAUAAUCCGCUGACUGCACUGUACGUAGUACGUACACUACGUCUUUCUCGAUCUAGCCAUAGACUCAUCAAGUAUGUGGUGCUGCUAAUUUGAUUCUUCUAUUUGUCUUUG